AGGCAGCAGUGGGGAAUAUUGGACAAUGGGGGCAACCCUGAUCCAGCCAUGCCGCGUGAGUGAUGAAGGCCUUCGGGUUGUAAAGCUCUUUUGGCGGGGACGAUGAUGACGGUACCCGCAAAAUAAGCCCCGGCUAACUUCGUGCCAGCAGCCGCGGUAAGACGAAGGGGGCUAGCGUUGUUCGGAAUUACUGGGCGUAAAGCGAGUGUAGGUGGUUUGCCAAGUUGGGUGUGAAAGCCUUGAGCUCAACUCAAGAAAUGCACUCAGUACUGGCAGACUAGAGGACCGGAGAGGAUAGUGGAAUUCCCAGUGUAGUGGUGAAAUACGUAGAGAUUGGGAAGAACACCAGUGGCGAAGGCGGCUAUCUGGACGGUUUCUGACACUAAGACUCGAAAGCGUGGGGAGCAAACAGGGAUUAGAUAUCCUGGUAGUCCACGCCGUAAACGAUGGGUGCUAGACGUUGGCGAGCUUGCUCGUCAGUGUCGCAGCUAACGCGUUAAGCACCCCGCCUGGGGGAGUACGGCCGCAAGGUUGAAACUCAAAUGAAUUGACCGGGGGC
rnacentral:rRNA from 1 species